GGAGAGGAGAGGAGAGGAGAGGAGAGGAGAGGAGAGGAGAGGAGAGGAGAGGAGAGGAGAGGAGAGGAGAGGAGAGGAGAGAAGAGAAGAGAAGAGAAGAGAAGAGAAGAGAAGAGAAGAGAAGAGAAGAGAAGAGAAGAGAAGAGAAGAGAAGAGAAGAGAAGAGAAGAGAAGAGAAGAGAAGAGAAGAGAAGAGAAGAGAAGAGAAGAGAAGAGAAGAGAAGAGAAGAGAAGAGAAGAGAAGAGAAGAGAAGAGAAGAGAAGAGAAGAGAAGAGAAGAGAAGAGAAGAGAAGAACAAAGAAAAAGAACAGAGAUCUUUUUUUCAUCAGUAACAGUAUUUCAUUUUGGUUCUUUGUAGAUCCGUAUAGAUCCAACAUCACCUAAAUGUCAGUGAGCAGUGUAGGGGACACUGUUGGAAAAAUGUCAAACUUUUCAUCCCCUGUUCUGCAAAACUAUACUGGCUCUAUUUCUUGCAGCCUACUCCAAUGCCUUCUCCAUGAAGAAAUUCUUCCUGAUAUGCAGUCUAAAACUUUUCUGGCACAACACAAGACUCUUUCCUUUCCAAGCAUCUCUAAUGAGAUCAGAAAGAAUAUGAAAUAAAAAUAGGAGAACUGCUCCUGUUCCGUAGAAGUGCAAUAACAUCAGUAUUACUUGCCAGCUGAGAAAAGAGAUCAACACCCUCCUCACUGCAGUGUCUUUUCAGGUAGCUGUAGGGAGCAAUGCAGUCACUCCUCAGCAGGAUUUUCAAAUUUAAACUUUCUUUUUUUUUUUUCAGUACUGAAUGAAAUCUCACUGGGUGCAGUUAAUGAGAGUGCAUACACUCAUGGAGCUACAAACUAAUUUAGAGAUAAUUCACUACAAUGUACAACAUCAGGGUCUAAAAUCAUCUUCCAGAAACUGACGCUGACCUCUUGGGGAGGGGGGGUGAUCUCUGUGGGAGAGAGUCUUAUCAAAGACAAAGAUCUCCCUGAGUACAGGACGGAUAUAGAGCUCUUGGAGCGGGUCCAGAGGAGGGCCACUAAGAUAUCAAAGGGCUGGAGCACCUCUCCUAUGAGGAAAGGUUGAGGGAACUGGGAUUGUUUAGCUUGGAGAAGAGAAGGCUCUGGGGAGACCUCAUUGUGGCCUUCCAGUACUUGAAGAGAGCAUGUAAACAGGAAGGGGAGUGGCUGUUUAUGAGGGUGGAUAGUGAUAGGACAAGGGGGGAUGGUCUUAAACUGAGAGAGGGGAGGUUUAGGUUAGAUACUAGGAGGAAGUUUUUCACACAGAGGGUGGUGACACACUGGAACAGGUUGCCCAAGGAGGCUAUGGAUGUCCCAUCCCUGGAGGCAUUCAAGGCCAGGCUGGAUGUGGCUCUGGGCAGCCUGGUCUGGUGGUUGGCGACCCUGCACAUAGCAGGGGGUUGAAACUACAUGAUCAUUGUGGUCCUUUUCAACCCAGGCCAUUCCAUGAUUCUAUGAUUCUAUGAUCUCUGUAAACAGUGAGACAAAACAGGAUUCUUCUGAACAAGAGAAUACAGACUGGUGACUGUUAUUUUACUCUGUUGUGUUAUACAAUCAUAGAAUGGUUUGGGUUGGAAGGGACUUUUAAGAUCAUGUAGGUCCAACCCUCUGCUAUAGGCAGGGACACCUCCCUCUAGACCAGGCUGCUCAAAGCCCCGUCCAGCCUGGCCUUGACUGCCUCAAGGGAGAGGGCAACCACAACCUCCCUGGGCAACCUGUUCCAGUGUCUCACCACCCUCACAGGAGAGAAUUUCUUUCUAAUACAUCUAAAGCUUCCGUCUUCCAGUUUAAAUGACCAAGUUCUCAGUUGUUAUGAGGGGUUUUACUGUGAAUGAAUCCAAAACUUUACAGGUGAUUUUCGCUUUAAUAAAAGCCUAAAUUCUGGAGAGCAGAUGAUAGUCCAUUCAAGAUGUCCUGAGUGACUGAUGAUGAUUUAAUCACUGUAUUGAUAGAUAGUAAAGCUAACAAAUUCACUGUGCUGUACUGAACUACUUAUCCCAAUAUGCCCGAGGUUCCUGCUUUAAAGAGGGCUUCAGAAGCAUAGAUGAUUAAAUUUAGUAUAUUAGUAUAUUAACAUGUAUUUUGGGGGAAGGACAUAGAAGUCCUAGAACACCCUACUGUUGUCUCUCAUCUCCUUUCCAGAGAAAGUAAUAAUACAGCUCUUCAAAGUACUGACAAAUUCACCAGUAUGAUUUGACUGCUGUUAAGGCCCUACCCCUCUAAAACAUCCUCUGUUGGUUCCCAGGAGCAUCGGAAAAGAAAUGACUUCCUAGAGGAGCAAGUCCUUAAGUAUGUUAACAUAGUAGAUGAACAUGCAACUGCAGCAGAGAAAAACCUUAAUAGGCUUUGGUGAGGAGCUGUAGAGGAGGGCUGCAGGUGGAAUGACGUCUGUUCUAUGUUUUGUGUAGUCGACUGCUAUUCUGUAUAACAAUGUAGUUUUAUGUAGGAAAUAAAAUAUUUGUACAAAGUACAUACAUUGAAACAUUGUUAAGAAUGCAGAAACUCAGAAGUUAAAGGCUUCCUGAGCAUUACAACUGAGUUAAAGCUGAAAUGUCUGGUCACUUUUUCUCCCCUCCAUCCUUCAAUUGCGUUGGGUGAACCCGUUCACAACUGUGCAGAUCUUUCACAUUUCUUUUGCAAGAGACCUGUUGUGAGUGGGCCAGGAAUGGAUGCCUAAUUACAAUAGGCGAAUAUAAAUUAGCCUAUCAUGCACAACUUACACAAUGUUGGCCAAAUCACUUCACACAAACUUUCCAUGGGUAAGUCAUCACCAUUCUGUACUUUAUUUUUGUUGUCUGACUUGGCACACUGCUCAGAAGUUCUGAGCAUUCACAAAUGUAGAUGAAGCGUCUAAGAGCAAAAUGCUGAGCCUUCAGAGUAUUGCUGCUUAGCUCCUGUACUGUGAAAAAUUAGUCCUAAAGUAGAACGCAUAAAGCUUGCAGAGUUUUAUCUCUGCCUUUGUGCUUGAUAACACAACUUCACAAAGACGCUCCAAGAUAUAUCCAAGCUUGCAGAACAGACUGUACAGCGAUGAACACUGAAAGCCUUUGAGGAUGUUAAUUCUCUUUUCUUUAGAGCAAGAUUUGAGGAGUGUGCAGUGAAUAUUAUUCUUGGCUAACAGAGAUGCUUAAGCGUUUAAGUUGAUUGCUCUUGGUCCUGUCUCAAAACAGAUAAUUACGUUAUUGCCUCACAUGAUAAGCUCUUACUCUUCUCCCUUUCCAGUAAAUAAAAAUGUAAAGAUUUGAGGAAAAAUCACUCCACAAUACUUCAGCUUUUCUAAGAGAACAAAAGGGUGAGCAGUACCCUAUUUUCCUAGGGUAGGAGAGGAAGAAUAGCAACAGCUCGAGGCUUACAGGAUCUUCAGUCUCAUUCAAAAGAACCAAUAAGUACUUUCAUUUGAAAAUAGGUCUUACCCCUAUCUUGAAAAGAAGAGUUAACUAUAGACUUCAGAGAGCAUGCUGAGAUUUAAGAUAUAGAAGAUGGUGAAGGCAACUUGCAGAAAAAUCAGAAACCAGAGGAAAUAUGCUUUAUAAUUAUUUGACUUUUAGUCAGAUUACUUCAUAUUCAAUGAAAGGUGUGACUUUGCUUUAAGUGUUGCUACAUGCAUCUUCAAGCUAGUACAAAUACAAGUACAGUUAUCUAGAUUAUUCUAAGAGUCCAUGGGUUUACACAGGUAGUGAUUUGGCAAGGCCCUUAAGUAUAUGCUUAAUUAUAAUUGCAGCCUGUAAUUUUUAGUUACCCUGACACCUAGUGGAAUUUAUUGCUCCAAGCAGAAUAUAUAGGUUAAUCUUCUUGUAGAGCAAUUGGGGAAUAUUAAGAAAGUUAUGUAACCCAUCCUUGGACAAAAAUAAGAAGAUAGUUACCUGGAAGAAAAACCAUCUAAGCAUUGAAUUAGAUAAAAUGUGAAAAGGAAUUUGUCCCAAGCUCUGCCCUGCUAGAGACAUGCUAAUAAAGCCAGAUGAAAAGUUGUAAGGUCCCUGACCCAAUGUCUGAUUUUUGAAUGUGUACACAUCUCCUGGUUUCUUUUCCUUUUUUUAUUCAUUUUUCUCUUUUAUUCUUUUUCUUUCUAUGUUUUUCUUUCUCUUUCAUGUGGAGACACCACAGAAUUCAGUUUAAGUUACAUUCUGAUCUCCGUUCAUAUAAUGUGAACACACGGAACCCUUUUAGUGUCUCAUCAGAAGGCUGGGUCUUAUUGUUCCUUUUUGUACAUAUGUUCCAGUUUAGAUGUAUAUUACUUGAACAUGAGUAUUUUAUGAAGACAGACACAAUUUCAUCAUCAUUUGUACAUGACCUGUACAAUUUACAUCCAUUUAUCUACAGGAAUACCUUGGCUGAUACCUUACGAAUUUCUAUGAAGAUUACUUGGCUCUUAAUGGUUUUAUCACAUUAGUGUUACAUGGGAAUAUGUAGCACUCUGUGUAAAUGCACCACCUCUCACUCUCUACUAAUUAUUAUUUCAGGCCUUGAAGUCAUACAGUUUUUCUUGAAUUAUAUUCUACUUGACUUCGAUGUUCUGUCUCCCAGCUUGAUAUCUUAAGCACAUUUUAGUCAAUUUCUGUAUCUAUGUCUUUAUUAUUUACAAGAAUGAAUGUUUUUGUUUUCAUAACCUGCACACAUAGCUGAAUUCUCAAGGCAAACCUCAGUUUGUUCACCCAGAAACUCAGACCAUCACUUCCACUGUCAUAAUGUGACAGCAGUGAGUGUCAGGGAGGUGUUCCCUACCAGCAUUAAUAGCUCUAUGCUUGAACAUGUGGUAGAGGUGAGGGAAGUACCAGCAAGUCACUAAAGAUUAUUUUCCUCCAGGGCGGUACUUUGGCACACUGAUGGAAGACCACACUUAUGAGGAGAAAAUGUUGGCAGUGCACAACAGGUGAUGAAACCUUGGCUGGAAGCUUCUUCAUACUGACACUAACAGAGUGAGUUACCAUGGAGGGCACAGUAAAUUUAAUAACCUUUAUAACAUGCAGCAAGGAUGUGGUGCACAGCACUGUCACCUGUGAAGCUCUGAAGGUAACUGAGAAUAUAUAUAUUUUUUUACCUUUCCAAUAAAACAUUGAGGCCCUGAACUGUCAGGAGAAGGGCAAUGGAGCUGUGAAGGGUCUGGAGCACAAGUCUCAUGAGAAGCUGCUGAGGGAGCUGAGGUUGUUCAGUAUGAAGAAGAGGAGCUCAGGGGAGACCUCAUCACUCUCUACAGUGACCUGAAAGGAGGAUGCGGUGAGGUGGGGGUUGGCCUCUUUUCCCAGGUAACAGUGAUAGAGCCAGAGGUAAUGACAUCAAGUUGAGCCAGAGGAGGUUCAGGUUGGAUAUUAGGAAAAACGUUCUUAUCAGCAAGAGCGGUGCUGCAGUGGCACAGGCUGCCCAGGGAGGUGGUGCAGUCACCAUCACUGGAGGUGUUGAAGAACAGUGUGGAUGUGGCACUGAGGGACGUGGUCAGUGGGCAUGGUGAGGUUGACGGACUGAUGGUUGGGGUAGUUGAUCUUCGUGGUCUUUUCCAACCUCAAUGAUUCUAUGACUCUGUGACAGAAUCCUGAAGAAUUAUAGCUGCGUGCAGUCCUCCCACGGCACGGCCAUGAAAACACGAGGACAAACUUCUGGAAACGGUCAGGCGCUGUUACUCCGGGCAAGGCAAAAUAAGAGUCUCGUGAGUGCCGAUGGCUGCUCUUUCCUUGGCUCUGGAGACCAGAAGCGCGGUGAUCCCCGCUCCGCCCGCCCGAUUCCGCCGCCAGGUGGCGCCGUAGCGCUGCCGGAAGCGG
ensembl:lncRNA